rnacentral:lncRNA from 1 species
AGGCGGGUGGUUUUAUGAAACGCACCCUGAUAAAAGCGUUUUUAGUAGGCUGUCACAUGAUUGUCAUUGUCUUGGGGCGGAGGAUAAGCAGACGCACACACUUUACUGUUGUGACUGAAAAGGAAAUUAGAGAUAAAGUUCUAGUAUGACAUUACUAUUCAGAAUUUUAGCAUGGCAUGAAUUAACAGCCUUGAUAAACAGUUUCUGUAGAAAAAUGGCCUAGUAAGUAAAAACUGAGUUGCCUCUCCUGUCUGUCUGCUUAGGACGGACUUGGGGCUGAGAUGGCCUGGGUGUACUAAUUACAGGGAAAGUAAAGUAGGGUGCACUUGGAGGGCCUUGACUCUAAUAACUUUCCAGUCUGUUAGAAAUAUAAUAAAAUGCCUUAUUUAUUCAUUAUACUCUAUUGAACGUAUUAGAAAGGAUAUCAUAUUGUAGCAUUUUGUGAGGAUGUGCCAGAUACAGCCAUCACAUAGCCUACCUUUAGAACAACCUGAUGGGAAAGAUGCUGUCACUACCGUUGUGUUGCAGAGGAGUCAGAGCAGAGCAAGAGAUGGGAGGUAGCCUAUCCUUGCUGUAGAGAUACACUCUGCCAUUUGGCUUCUCAUUUCCCAAGUAUAGUAAUUCUCUAACAAAUGCUGUCCGCAAAUGAAAUAGGGCAGCAUCUGAAACAGUUUUCUUCCCCAAUCUUCCUAAAGAAAACACAGGAUUCUUAAUGCAUGACUGUUAGUUGAUUAAUGGGACUCAAAUAGUCUGAGAAGAAGAAUGCCAACAUAGUAAUUAUUAAUAGGUAACAAUAUUCAAAGCAUUAAGAGGAUAUGCUUCAAGCUGAGCUACUUGCUCAAAACUGCUCAUUCCCUUGAAAGUUUGCGUAGUUUUUUUAUACUUGUAUUUUGUCAUUUUGUUUUUCUUUCCAUGAAGAGCUGCUUGUGAGUUUUGUCAUUUGCCUUUGCUACUUCCUAGGACAAUCUCUCCUGUGUUAUGUGCAUUCCUGAUAGAAGUGAGCAUGCCCUUGGUUCUGUUCCCAAGAUCUAAGUCAUUGUCACAGUCAUAGUUGGGGCCUGAAAUAGGAAACAUGCAUGUGCCUCUUUCUGCUCUGCAGUGUGAUUCCAGAACUUAAACACACGCACGCACGCACGCACGCACGCACGCACGCACGCACACACACACACACAUGCACGCACACAUAAGCACACACACUCACACAUAAACACACACACAGGCAUGCAUGCACACAUACAACCUUGGUGCUCCUUGGAGCACUGGAGGGCGAAAUCCAUGAAAGGAAUGCCUACAGUUCUUUUCUCAAGGUUGAUACUAUGGUUAUUUAGAGAUUAAAGCCACAUUCCAUCUUCAACUGAAUUUUGAUUUUCCUCUGAGGUAAAAUUGGUCUAAUUCAGCUAGGAUCUUGACUUUGUUCUUCUUGUUAUAUCUUUUUCUCCAUUUCUACAAUUUGUCACACAAUAAAGUGAUUUCAGAUUUGUUUAUAAUCCCUUAGAAGACCUAGCAAUGGCAGUACCAAAAGGGAUACAAAGGUCUGAAGUUGCAAAGUAGGAACCCAGUAGACACUGCUUGUAAGGUAGUUAACUACAUAUGCUUGGUUUGUCAGACCAGCUUCAUGUCGCUUAUUUGUAAAAUUUGAGUAUUUGCCUGAUUUAUAUGUAAUGUCAUAGAGCAUGUAAAUCAUGCAUUGACUUCUAACAGCAGCCUAAAUAAGUAUUGAAAUACUUAUUUUUAAAAUGUAUGUGCAUAUAUAGUGCACAUCAUAUAUUCACAGCUGCUGUAUCAGUAUGCUUAUCCACUCAUUGUUGGAUAUUAUUAUGAAGAUUGUAUGUUCUGUACCGUAUAGCUCAGACUGGUUUUCUCUGAAAGUGAGGCAAGUCUGUUAGUCACUAAAGAGACGCUCCUAGAAUUCCGUUUUGUGAUCUCUGGAUCCUUUCUGUAAUGUCCAUGUAUUAAUUUAAUGCCCAAAGGAGUAUCUUAAGAAAUUAUUACACUGUGUACAAAUAUUAGAAAUUGCUAACCUUUAGGUCAUGCCUGUGUUUCAUGACAAAACAUUGGUAGUAAUAAAAAUCGACAUGUAAAGAAUCACAGUCAUUUUUCAUGGUGCAAAAUAAAUGUAUGGACCCAUUUAUUCUACAAUCUCUAGUAGGGAGCUAUACUGCAUGUCCUUCAAGUUAACGUUAUUGUGAAUAUCCAUGAAGCCUUUUACUUCUCUAUUACCAAGGGCCAAAAAGGGACCUCAUAAGAGUAAAUCUAAACUCAUAACUGCUACCCUUUAAUUUUAAAUGUCAAGUUGUCAACCUGCUAAUAAAUUAACGAGUCACAGAAAGAUACAUUCUUGCACAGAUAUUUUUAGGGUAGAAUUAUGACAUAAGUCAUGACACUCCAGAGGAAUAGUUUAAACAUCUGUUAACAUUCCUUUUGGGGACAUGUUUAGGUCUUAGUCAUUCCAGCCUCAAAACAUGUUAUCUUGAUUGUACUUGUGGACAUGGUGCAGGGUAGUCUAGACUUGGUGGAGACUAGCAUCACUUGGGGUAGUAGUUUAAGUGUGGGACCUCAUCCAUAUAGACUUUUAGGUCACUGGUGGGUCUCAGGAAUUAUUGUCACUUAUCAGACAAGUGAUUGCAAAGGGAAAAUGUAAAGCGGUUGCUUGUAACCCCCAACUUUUCACCAGUCCUUCGUUAUGAGUGACUGAACUGAAAUGCACUUCUAUUAAUGCUCAGACCUUAGCGUGGGUUUCUACAUUGCUGAAGGAUUCUAGAUACUGGGACACCUAUUAAAGUAGUUCAUACCGCCCACUGAGGAGCCACCUCAGUGGCUGCGUGUUUCAAAGACUUACUAAGACGUUAGAUAGCUAUUUGGUUAAUUAAAUGCACCAUUUUAUAUCAUCACCCUUUGUGAGAAGAACAUGUUAAAUAUUCCAAACAAGCUGAGCAAACUCCUUGCCGCCUCCUGUUUUCAGGUGGGGCUUGUUUUUAAAUAAACAACUCUUGUUCUGUGAGGGCAUUAUUUUUUUUAAAGUAAUAGAAAUACAAGUUUCUACUUUACUGGAAUGCAAGCAUGUGCUAAUUCUUUACAUAUAGGCAAAUUUUAAUAUAAUUCUUAUGACUUGGACACAGAGUAUUAUUUGAAAGCCACAUAGAAGAAACAAGAAUAUAUAGAUUGGUAUUUUAGUGAGUUUAAUGAAUUUAGUAUUAUAUUAAAGCAAAAGUCCCCAGCUAUUGAUGGUUCUCCACUUAAGCUCUUUUACUCGUCUUCCAGAGGACCCAUGUGACUCACAACUGCCUGCCAAUCCAAGUCCAAGGGAUUCUAGUGCCCUUUUAUAGCCUCUGUGGGCUCUACAUUCAUGUGUGCAAACCCACACAUGGACACUU